rnacentral:rRNA from 1 species
CCUACGGGUGGCAGCAGUCGAGAAUCAUUCACAAUGGGGGAAACCCUGAUGGGGCGACGCCGCGUGGGGGAAUGAAGGUCUUCGGAUUGUAAACCCCUGUCAUGUGGGAGCAAAUUAAAAAGAUAGUACCACAAGAGGAAGAGACGGCUAACUCUGUGCCAGCAGCCGCGGUACUACAGAGGUCUCAAGCGUUGUUCGGAAUCACUGGGCGUAAAGCGUGCGUAGGCUGUUUCGUAAGUCGUGUGUGAAAGGCGCGGGCUCAACCCGCGGACGGCACAUGAUACUGGGAGACUAGAGUAAUGGAGGGGGAACCGGAAUUCUCGGUGUAGCAGUGAAAUGCGUAGAUAUCGAGAGGAACACUCGUGGCGAAGGCGGGUUCCUGGACAUUAACUGACGCUGAGGCACGAAGGCCAGGGGAGCGAAAGGGAUUAGAUACCCUUGUAGUC